UACGUAGGAUGCAAGCGUUAAUCGGAAUUACUGGGCGUAAAGCGUGCGCAGGCGGUUUUGUAAGACUGUCGUGAAAUCCCCGGGCUCAACCUGGGAAUGGCGAUGGUGACUGCAAGGCUAGAGUUUGGCAGAGGGGGGUAGAAUUCCACGUGUAGCAGUGAAAUGCGUAGAUAUGUGGAGGAACACCGAUGGCGAAGGCAGCCCCCUGGGUCAAAACUGACGCUCAUGCACGAAAGCGUGGGGAGCAAACAGG
rnacentral:rRNA from 1 species